rnacentral:rRNA from 1 species
CAAUAAGCGGAGGAAAAGAAACCAACCGGGAUUGCCUUAGUAACGGCGAGUGAAGCGGCAAAAGCUCAAAUUUGAAAUCUGGUACCUUUGGUGCCCGAGUUGUAAUUUGGAGAGGGCAACUUUGGGACCGUUCCUUGUCUAUGUUCCUUGGAACAGGACGUCAUAGAGGGUGAGAAUCCCGUGUGGCGAGGAGUGCGGUUCUAUGUAAAGUGCCUUCGAAGAGUCGAGUUGUUUGGGAAUGCAGCUCUAAGUGGGUGGUAAAUUCCAUCUAAAGCUAAAUAUUGGCGAGAGACCGAUAGCGAACAAGUACAGUGAUGGAAAGAUGAAAAGAACUUUGAAAAGAGAGUGAAAAAGUACGUGAAAUUGUUGAAAGGGAAGGGCAUUUGAUCAGACAUGGUGUUUUGCGCCCUCUGCUCCUUGUGGGUGGGGGAAUCUCGCAGUUCACUGGGCCAGCAUCAGUUUUGGUGGCAGGAUAAAUCCGUAGGAAUGUAACUUGCUUCGGGAAGUAUUAUAGCCUAUGGGAAUACUGCCAGCUGGGACUGAGGACUGCGACGUAAGUCAAGGAUGCUGGCAUAAUGGUUAUAUGCCGCCCGUCUGAAA